rnacentral:rRNA from 1 species
GACAUGGCUCAGGAUGAACGCUAGCUACAGGCUUAACACAUGCAAGUCGAGGGGCAGCAUGAACUUAGCUUGCUAAGUUUGAUGGCGACCGGCGCACGGGUGAGUAACACGUAUCCAACCUUCCGUUUACUCAGGGAUAGCCUUUCGAAAGAAAGAUUAAUACCUGAUAGUAUGGUGAGAUUGCAUGAUAGCACCAUUAAAGAUUUAUUGGUAAACGAUGGGGAUGCGUUCCA